CCAAUAGCGUAUAUUAAAGUUGUUGCAGUUAAAAAGCUCGUAGUUGAAUUUCGGGAUUGACGCAUCGGUCGUGCCUUAAGGGGUAUGAACUGUUACAGUCGAUUUCUCACCUUCUGGAGAAACGCGAUGUCCUUUAUUGGGUGCCGCGCGGAACCAGGACCUUUACUUUGAAAAAAUUAGAGUGUUUAAAGCAGGCAUUUUUGCUUGAAUACAUUAGCAUGGAAUAAUAGAAUAGGACGGCAUGGUUCUAUUUUGUUGGUUUCUAGGAUCACCGUAAUGAUUAAUAGGGAUAGUUGGGGGCAUUAGUAUUCAAUUGUCAGAGGUGAAAUUCUUGGAUUUAUUGAAGACUAACUACUGCGAAAGCAUUUGCCAAGGAUGUUUUCAUUAAUCAAGAACGAAAGUUAGGGGAUCGAAGACGAUCAGAUACCGUCGUAGUCUUAACCAUAAACUAUGCCGACUAGGAAUCAGACGAUGUUAAUUUUUUAAUGACUCGUUUGGCACCUUACG
rnacentral:rRNA from 1 species